rnacentral:rRNA from 1 species
UACGUAGGGUGCAAGCGUUGUCCGGAAUUAUUGGGCGUAAAGCGCGCGUAGGCGGCGCGGUAUGUCGUGCGUGAAAUCUCCCGGCUUAACUGGGAGGGGCCGUGCGAAACUGCCGGGCUUGAGGUCGGAAGGGGAAAGUGGAAUUCCGGGUGUAGUGGUGGAAUACGUAGAUAUCCGGAGGAACACCAGCGGCGAAGGCGGCUUUCUGGUCCGAUACUGACGCUGAGGUGCGAAAGCGUGGGGAGCGAUCCGG